rnacentral:lncRNA from 1 species
AUAACACUAGUUUCAUGACCUCACCGUCAAAUAAGGUGGAUAACCAUUUAUCUCUGAUUUCUCUUCCAAAUUGCUGGCUUGUUUUCCAGUCCUUCUAACCCAGUCUUUAUCUGGUCACCUGUCAUUCUUUCACUUGAACACAAGUCUUUACAAAAUUGAUGGCUGUACGUCUAUCUCACUAAGGCUCAAAAAUAGUUAGAACCUGUGUAUCUAUCAGUGGAUAAUAUUUACAUUUAUAAUAUCACAUUUAAUUUCCAUAGAGAAAAAUACAGGAUUGUUUUUGUGGUUGUUGUUAAUGUAAAUUUACCUCAGACAGGUAAUAAAAAAAAGGGAUGGACAAGAAAAUACCCAAUUCCAAAGCUUGAAAAGAAAGGCCAAAAUUUGCCCCAGAAUUUUUUAAGAAAAUGUGAUGAAUUAUCAAAGACAGAACAAGGGGUUCUCUAGAGAAGGCAUGAGACCUUGAAGAGGUCCUUCUCUUACAGAGGCAGUGGACACACCCUCAUUGGAUAUUCAUAAAUACAAGAUACUUAUUGAUAUUCUCAAUUAUUUGCAUGUCAAACUUAAUAUAAACUCUCCUACCAAUACUGAAUAAAUUAUCUGGAAAUACUUUCACAUCAUGGUUUAAAAUAAUCCUAUCUCUGGGAGCAGGAUAGACAAAAACAAUGCAGGGUUUACUUGCAUAUUUACUUUUGAUUGUAAUUGCUGUUUUUGACAAAUUAAUAUUUAUAUGCUCUUUCAGUAGCAUCCUGACUAGCACUAAUUAUUCCAUAUAUAAUGUGUCUUGGUCAAGAUCCCAAAGUCUGAAUUCCUUAGCCUUCAAUAAAACAAUAUGAAAUGUUAAAAUACUUGACCCAAAGACAGUAAAUUGAAGUUAAUUUUUUUUAAAUUAUAAGAAGUCAAUGUAGUAUUUUACCAAAUUGAUUUAGAAAAAAAAUGCAGUUUUUACUUGUUUUUGAUGUAUUUAGAGGUCUGAUGAACCCUUCAUACAACCUUGUUAUACACCAGACUGGUGCUUUCCUGUCUGAAAUAAAUUUAAAUUUAAGGGCUCUACAAAUCACACACACACAGGGCAUACAGCACACAUGGUGUGUUGAAACUCGAUGACAUAGAUGACCUUGGAUUCAGAUAUUUUUCAUAGAAAGUCUACGCAUGCAGCAAGAAAGUAUAGUGGUUACUGUUGAAGGCUUAUUCUUCACAGCCUGCUUUUGAUUCUUGUCUUUAUUAAUAAAAGUCUGGAAGAUAGAUAACACAUUUAUUGAAACUGAUACAAAUACAACAUGACAACUCACCUUAAACAUUACUACACACUUGCCAGUGGCCACUGUGUAUAUUUUAAGAGAGCUAGAGAGAAAUGCUGUGGCUGUCUCUCUCUUUUUGUUUUUUUGUUUUGGUUUUUUUUUUGAGACGGAGUCUCGCUCUGUCGCCCAGGCUGGAGUGCAGCGGCGCCAUCUCGGCUCACUGCAAGCUCUGCCUCCUGGGUUCACGCCAUUCUCCUGCCUCAACCUCCCGAGUAGCUGGGAUGCUGUGGCUCUCUCUUAUUUUUUAAGCAUGCAAUUGUACACACUAAAUCAAAAUGAGUUCCAUAGUUCUUCAUCAUUAACAGAUUUUAUUAAUCCAUUUGGCCAUGUUUUAAAUAAGGAAUGUAAAUCACACACAGAAUACAUGAAAAAUGGUAACCAGAAUAUUUCCAAUUGUCAUUUUAAAAACAAUUUCUAGGAAACAAUAUCUCACGCCUGUGAUAACAAAUUUGUUUAAAAGAGUGUACACGUAGCUCUAUUUUCUUCCAACAACCAUUUCAAAAUGGCGUCUCCUGCACUGAGAGGAUAUGAAGGCUAUGGAAAAUAUGCUGGACUUAUGGCCCUCAACAACUUUGUAGCGUUUACUUCUACUAUGGCUGCAUUUUGUUUGUGGGGAGAUAUAUCAUACUCCUUAUUAAAAAUUAAGAUGUGAAUGUAAUCAUCGAUUUGCAUGUUGACUUUGUCAAGUAAGCUUUUAUCUGUGGAGGGAAUCCUUGGCCACCAUUUCCCAAUUUUAUCUCCUCAAUAGCCUUUGCCAAAGCUGGACGGUCAGCUUAGGUUGUAUUCUUACUGCAUUCACCUCUUAUCUCAUUUCCUCUUUAUUAAACAGGGAACUUUCAGCUAAAAUAAGAAGCUAAUGUGAUUUUGUAGAGAAAGAUAGCUUUGUUCAUUUGAGUUGUGUUAGUAGAGGGAUAAAUUAGGAACAUUUCAAAUGUAGAUGAUAAUAAGGU